UUCCUCUCGCUGAUCACACUGUUCCUGCACGGAGGAGCCGCUUUGCUGGGCUUCGUUUUCUGACACUUCAGCACGAUGGUGACCAAAAUAGUGAUGAGUAAAAGAAAUGAAACGGAGCCCAGUCCGAUCACCAGAUACAGGUUUAAAUCGGAGAAGAUGUCAUAUCCCAAAGGCACCUCAGUCAUGUCAGCAUAGGUUUUAAGGGCACCCGAUUCGAACGUUAUCACUCGAUUGAAUGGGGCGUUAUCAGCGGUUAUCAGCCCAUAGCUAUGGGCCAGGAGGGGCCUCCUGUGCCUACUAGUAGGCUCAGAAGGCCGUGAUCAUCCAUCCAAAUGGUUGAUCACCCACAAAUAUACAAGAGAAGACUCCAGAUCCAAUCCCAGAAUUCCUGCUCACCGGUAAUCGGAAGUCUACUGGACGAAUGCGGGAACGUUGCGAUAUUUCCUGCUUAAUAUUUUCAGGCACAAUGAAUGAUAUUAAGGGCAGGUGCGCCACAUUGGGGGAAGAUGCAAAGCAGAAAUACAUUCAAGAGGCAGCAGCACUGAGGGCACAUGGGCAGGCACAGGACACUAAACCCUGAGAUGGAGGCAAUUUGUGCUGUGUCUGCUGCGUCCAUUUUUAUGAUAAGAAGAAGAAUGCAAGAAAGAAGUGGCAUUCAUGGUCUCAGUGCACAGUGUGCCAAUCAUGGUCACACACAGCAUGUGGCUUUAAAAAGAACAUGUGCGUUCACUGCCAGGGUCAAGACACCAUGCUAACACCCUGAAGAUGUAUCUUGUUACUUGUUUGAGUUGUUUUUACUGUGUUGACGGCCCCCAACCCAUCCAUACAAACACACACACACAAUACAUACAUAUGCUGCAAAUUUAUUGUAAUGACCACACUUCACACGUAAGAAGAAAAUUGUGAUCUUUUUGUUAUUUUCAUUCACCCCAUUUUUAUUUAUUAUUGUUGUUUGUUGGCACCAUCAAUGUGUUCUCCUUUAUACAGGACUUAUGUGGGGACCAAUAAAGUUAUAUUGUACUGAA